AAGGGAGACCUAAUUCAGGUAUAAGACGAAAAAAAAGUAGUCCCUACCAAGAAUCAAUCCCAAAAGGUCGGAACGAGGUAUGAGGCUUUCAAACUAGGUUCUGGGUUCAUAAAAGACCUGAAUCAGGAACAAGGGCUAUUAGCUCAGGUGGUUAGAGCGCACCCCUGAUAAGGGUGAGGUCCCUGGUUCGAGUCCAGGAUGGCCCACCUGCACAGGUGGCAAAAACAAAGAAAAGAAGCUCCGAAUCAGCACCUUAUCUUACUCAUAUAGUAAGAGAGAAUGCUGGCUCUGAGUUCAGAGUCCAGAGGAACCCUGAAAACUGCAUAGAGCUAGGUGAAAAAGCCAAAAAAGAAGACCGCAA
rnacentral:tRNA from 1 species